UCGACGUCUCUUUAUUGAAAUGAUUUUCCCGCUUUAGUGGUUUUUACUUGGUGUAUUUUUAUUUUAAUGUUUUUAAAGAUUACAUACUUUGUUCAUGCUCCGUUUUCUUUCAUUGCACUUAGACUGGUUUCUUAUUGUUGCUUAAAAUAAAGCCCGAUUUGGUUGCUAGAAAUUACUCUUGCAAUCAAAGGUAUCGCAUGAGUUUGUGAAUUUUCUUCAAGUUAAAGAAUAAUCUUUCAAUUUGAUGUGCAAAAAGGUGAAUUUGAUUUUCAAAAGGGUGAAUUUGAUUUACAAAAUGGUGAAUUUGAUUUGCAAAAGUGUGUAUUUCUAUAUGGUUUGCAAAAGGGUGAAUUUGAUUUGAAAAAGGGUGAAUUUGAUUUGCAAAAAGGGGAAUUUGAUUUGUAAAAUGGGUAAUUUGAUUUGCAAAAUGGUGAAUUUGAUUUGAAAAAAGGUGAAAUUGAUUUGGAAAAGGGUGAAUUUGAUUUGCAAAAAAAUAUGAAUUUGAUUUGCAAAAGGAUGAAAUCGAUUUGGAAAAGGGUGAAUUUGGUUUGCAAAAAGGUGAAUUUGAUUUUCAAAGGAAUGACUUAGUAAUUUAACUUGUAAAAAAGGUGAACGUAAACAAGUUUCUAAUAAUGAGAAUUUCUUAAAUGUGGCGAAUUUGUAGCGUUUAUUUAAUAACUCCAUAGCAUAGUCUUACAAAACAUUUCGUGGUGCAUUUUUUUGUUCAGUUUUAUUUUUGGUUCCUAUAUCAGUCCCUAAGAUUUCAUAUAAUACCGCAAGUUAAGAGAAGAAAAAAAUCAUAAGGUGCGGAAAAAUAACGUAUUUCUAUCCGGUGCGUUCGUGGCCAAAUACUUUUGCUGCUUCUGUUGAAUUUUUUUUAAAUUUUUAUUUUACUUUUUGUUUUGCUUAUUUUUAUUUAUAAACGAAUAUCCGAUAAUUUUUACAUUUUUAUUGCUUUUUUUUUACUGUGGUUUUGUUGUUUUAUUUUUUUGCGCUUCAUCUAUUUGCGUUUAAAUGACAUGAAGUGCAUUAUUUUUCUAAGUGGGCAGAAUUUGAUUGACUGGAAUGUGUUUUUUGUUCGACAAAAAAAAAACCUCUGUUGGUGUUGAUUAUUUUUAUUGAAUAUAAAUUGAGAUAAAAUAUCAAUAAAUGUUAAAUGUUUAUUACCAUGGAGGUGGAGUUAUUCGAUAAAAAUUUAACAAAAAAAAAAAAGAAGUUUAAUGAUGGUCAAGGUGAAUAAAGGAAUCUCGGAACUUCAUCCACAUGUUUUGAAUUUUUAUGACAUAUUUUCCAAAAAAAAAAAACAAAAAAAAAACUGAUGUCAUUAUUUUAUGAA